rnacentral:rRNA from 1 species
UACGUAGGGUGCAAGCGUUGUCCGGAAUUAUUGGGCGUAAAGAGCUCGUAGGCGGUCUGUCGCGUCGGAUGUGAAAAUCCAGGGCUCAACCCUGGACCUGCAUUCGAUACGGGCAGACUAGAGUUCGGUAGGGGAGACUGGAAUUCCUGGUGUAGCGGUGAAAUGCGCAGAUAUCAGGAGGAACACCGGUGGCGAAGGCGGGUCUCUGGGCAAUUCCUGACGCUGAGGCGCGAAAGCGUGGGGAGCAAACGGG